GUCGGCGUGGCGGAAUGGCAGACGCGCCAGCCUUAGGAGCUGGUGCCCGAAAGGGCGUGAAGGUUCAAAUCCUUUCGCCGACACCA
rnacentral:tRNA from 1 species